rnacentral:rRNA from 1 species
AACGAACGCUGGCGGCAGGCCUAACACAUGCAAGUCGAGCGGACCUUUCGGGGUCAGCGGCGGACGGGUGAGUAACGCGUGGGAAUAUGCCCUUCUCUACGGCAUAGUCCUGGGAAACUGGGGGUAAUACCGUAUACGCCCUUUGGGGGAAAGAUUUAUCGGGGAAGGAUUAGCCCGCGUUGGAUUAGGUAGUUGGUGGGGUAAUGGCCUACCAAGCCGACGAUCCAUAGCUGGUUUGAGAGGAUGAUCAGCCACACUGGGACUGAGACACGGCCCAGACUCCUACGGGAGGCAGCAGUGGGGAAUCUUAGACAAUGGGGGCAACCCUGAUCUAGCCAUGCCGCGUGAGUGAUGAAGGCCUUAGGGUUGUAAAGCUCUUUCAGCUGGGAAGAUAAUGACGGUACCAGCAGAAGAAGCCCCGGCUAACUCCGUG